rnacentral:rRNA from 1 species
CAGUAGCCAGCGGUAAUACGAAGGGUGCAAGCGUUACUCGGAAUUACUGGGCGUAAAGCGCACGCAGGCGGUCUGACAAGUCAGAUGUGAAAUCCCCGGGCUUAACCUGGGAACUGCAUUUGAAACUGUCAGGCUGGAGUCUUGUAGAGGGGGGUGGAAUUCCAGGUGUAGCGGUGAAAUGCGUAGAGAUCUGGAGGAAUACCGGUGGCGAAGGCGGCCCCCUGGACAAAGACUGACGCUCAGGUGCGAAAGCGUGGGGAGCAAACAGGAUUAGAUACCCGCGUAGUCCCUGUCUCUUAUA